AGUGGGGGAUGCGUUAAUUCAGGGAACCUGGGUUCAAAUCCCCUUCUAAACCUAAUGAAAUCAAAUAUUUUUUUGAGGAACCCGGAACCGAUGAAUGUUAAAUAUGUAUAUGUGAUGUAUUAAUACGAUGAAUCAUACAUAGCAGAGUGGUUGAGUGGGAGAUAGGUAAUUGUGGGUAACCCGGGUUCGAAUCCCACGGGCUUAAUUUCCACGUAAUCAUCUGUUAAGUCUACGUAAGACUCCAUCAAAAUUUGACUAAUGGAG
rnacentral:lncRNA from 1 species